GGUAGUNCACGCCCUAAACGAUGUCGAUUAGCUGUUGGGCAGCAUGACUGCUUAGUAGCGAAGCUAACGCGUGAAAUCGACCGCCUGGGGAGUACGGACGCAAGAUUAAAACUCAAAGGAAUUGACGGGGACCCGCACAAGCGGUGGAUGAUGUGGAUUAAUUCGAUGCAACGCGAAGAACCUUACCUGGUCUUGACAUGUACGGAACCCUCCAGCGACGGAGGGGUGCCUUCGGGAGCCGUAACACAGGUGCUGCAUGGCUGUCGUCAGCUCGUGUCGUGAGACGUUGGGUUAAGUCCCGCAACGAGCGCAACCCUUGUCAUUAGUUGCCAUCAUUAAGUUGGGCACUNUAAUGAGACUGCCGGUGACAAGCCGGAGGAAGGUGGGGAUGACGUCAAGUCCUCAUGGCCCUUAUGACCAGGGCUUCACACGUCAUACAAUGGUCGGUACAGAGGGUAGCCAAGCCGCGAGGUGGAGCCAAUCUCACAAAACCGAUNGUAGUCCGGAUUGCACUCUGCAACUCGAGUGCAUGAAGUCGGAAUCGCUAGUAAUCGCAGGUCAGCAUANUGCGGUGAAUACGUUCCCGGGUNUUGUACACACCGCCCGUCACACCAUGGGAGUGGGGGAUACCAGAAGUAGGUAGGGUAACCGCAAGGAGCCCG
rnacentral:rRNA from 1 species